rnacentral:lncRNA from 1 species
AAAUCUUAAAAUCUAUAUAGUUAAGAAAUGAUACAAGCUCUAAAUUCGUUGCAAACUUCAUUUUAGUUCCAAAUAUAACAAUACAUUACAAAUUUGGAAAAUGUAGUUCAAUAUCACUAUAAAAUGUUUUUUCUUUCAUUUGAGCAUUUCAUCAAACACCUUGUCUUCAUGUUUGUUUCAAUGACCUUAGCUACAAAAAACACAAUACUGUAAGAAUCUAUAAUCGUUAUUCUUCAACAUUAACAUAACUAUAUAGAUAAACCUAACAUAAACUUGAAGGCAAAUCAGUUUUGUUCACACGGUUCCUUUAACUUUAAAGAGAAAUUAAGCCUUUACAAAAGGUAAAAACCAACUUUGAGGGCCUUAAACACCUUAAAACAUAAUAAAUCACAUAAAAACAGAGUAACAGAGCAAAAAAAACUUACAAAAGAAAAGAAAAAUCAUAGCAAGAGGAAGGAGAAAUCAGUACCUCACGUUGACGAAAUCCCAGGAGAAGAACUAGAAAUCGUUUGCACCAAUCACAUCCUUCCAGUCCAUUCUCUUUCUUCUCGACAUGGAGUUGACGAGCAUCCCUUAGCGAGCCUCCUAGCGAGCGCUAGGGGGCGGUGUUCUCUUCCUCUUAGCGAGAGUCGCGACCCGGUAGCGAGCCUUCACUCCGUUCAGCCUUAGGUUAGGGCUCCACAUAUUCGCUUCCUCUUUCUUGAUUCCGGUUCUUGAUGCUUCCCACCGUUCCAACCUCAGGAACUGUAGAUGCAUGUAGAUGUUUUCCUCUAUCCCCACUAUUCUCUCGACUUCUGCCACUCGCAACUCUCCUAGGUUGGAAGGACCACAGGUUCUUCCUCAAUCAUUGAAUAUCGAUUGAACCCUAAAUCAUUGUCGUUGUUGGUAGUGGUGCGACGGCAUGGGCUGUCGGUCGUCGUGGCCGGAGACGUGUUUGUUUACGGGUAUGAUACUACAAAGAAAGUCUUCACCCUCUUCGAAGUUCAUAUUUUUGAUAAAUUCCUUAGAGGUAUUUU